AAAGGAAUUGACGGGGGCCUACUACAAGUGGUGGAGCAUGUGGUUUAAUGCGAUAAUACGCGCGAAACCUUACCAGCCCUUGACAUAAAAGAAAAUUUAACGUUUUUAAAAUGAUUAAAUUAUACACAUAAAUUAUGAGCGAAUCUGUUCUUAAUUUUAUAUAAUUCUUUAUACAGGUGUUGCACGACUGUCGUCAGCUCGUGUCGUGAGAUUGUUGGUUCAUUCCUUUAACGAGCGUAACUCUUGUCUUUACGAUAUACCACAUUUUUAAAUUUUAGGUUUUAAAGAUACUGCCAACUAUAAGUUGGAGGAGGGUGAGAAUUAUGUCAAGUCACUGUGGCCCUAAUGGGCUGGGCUACACAUGUGCUACAUUGAAAAUUACAAAAAGUAACUAAAAUUAAAAUAGUUAAUCUUUAAAAAUUUUCAAAGUUCGGAUUGUAAGUUGCAACUCACUUAUAUGAAGUUGGAAUCACUAGUAAUCGCAAAUCAGAAUGUUGCGGUGAAUAGUAAAUUGGCCUUGUACACACCGCCCGU
rnacentral:rRNA from 1 species